UCCCUGGUAGCUCAGAGGUUAAAGCGUCUGCCUGUAAUGCGGGAGACCAGGGUUCGAUCCCUGGGUUGGGAA
rnacentral:tRNA from 1 species